GAUGAACGCUGGCGGCGUGCCUAAUACAUGCAAGUCGAGCGAACGGACGAGAAGCUUGCUUUUCUGAUGUUAGCGGCGGACGGGUGAGUAACACGUGGAUAACCUACCUAUAAGACUGGGAUAACUUCGGGAAACCGGAGCUAAUACCGGAUAAUAUUUUGAACCGCAUGGUUCAAAAGUGAAAGACGGUCUUGCUGUCACUUAUAGAUGGAUCCGCGCUGCAUUAGCUAGUUGGUAAGGUAACGGCUUACCAAGGCAACGAUGCAUAGCCGACCUGAGAGGGUGAUCGGCCACACUGGAACUGAGACACGGUCCAGACUCCUACGGGAGGCAGCAGUAGGGAAUCUUCCGCAAUGGGCGAAAGCCUGACGGAGCAACGCCGCGUGAGUGAUGAAGGUCCUCGGAUCGUAAAACUCUGUUAUUAGGGAAGAACAUAUGUGUAAGUAACUGUGCACAUCUUGACGGUACCUAAUCAGAAAGCCACGGCUAACUACGU
rnacentral:rRNA from 1 species